rnacentral:rRNA from 1 species
UACGUAGGGUGCGAGCGUUGUCCGGAAUUAUUGGGCGUAAAGGGCUCGUAGGCGGUUUGUCGCGUCGGGAGUGAAAACUCAGGGCUUAACCCUGAGCCUGCUUCCGAUACGGGCAGACUAGAGGUAGGCAGGGGAGAGCGGAACUCCUGGUGUAGCGGUGGAAUGCGCAGAUAUCAGGAAGAACACCGGUGGCGAAGGCGGCUCUCUGGGCCUUACCUGACGCUGAGGAGCGAAAGCGUGGGUAGCGAACAGG